rnacentral:tRNA from 1 species
GGUGGGUAUAGCUCAGUGGAAGAGCGCAGGCUUAGCAUGCCUGAGGUCCUGGGUUCAAUCCCCAGUACCUCCA